UACGUAGGGUGCAAGCGUUGUCCGGAAUUAUUGGGCGUAAAGAGCUCGUAGGCGGUUUGUCGCGUCUGCUGUGGAAACUCGGGGCUUAACCCCGGGCCUGCAGUGGGUACGGGCAGACUAGAGUGCGGUAGGGGAGACUGGAAUUCCUGGUGUAGCGGUGAAAUGCGCAGAUAUCAGGAGGAACACCGGUGGCGAAGGCGGGUCUCUGGGCCGUAACUGACGCUGAGGAGCGAAAGCGUGGGGAGCGAACAGG
rnacentral:rRNA from 1 species